rnacentral:rRNA from 1 species
CUUGCACACAACUCAGUAGCACGUGGCUAACCUGCCCUUGGGACGGGAACACCCCGGGAAACUGGGGCUAAUUCCCGAUAGGUGAAGAUUCCUGGAAUGGAUUUUUGCCGAAAAGACGUUUAGGGCAUGCUUCUAGGCGUUGCCCAAGGAUGGGGCCGCGGCCGAUCAGGUUGUUGGUGAGGUAACGGCUCACCAAGCCUUUAACCGGUACGGGCCGCGGGAGCGGUAGCCCGGAGAUGGGCACUUGGACAAGGGCCCAGGCCCUACGGGGCGCAGCAGUCGCGCAAACUCUGCAAUACGCGAAAGCGUGACAGGGCUAUCCCGAGUGCCGUCCGCUGAGGAUGGCUUUUCUCUGGUGUAGUGAGCCGGAGGAAUAAGGAGAGGGCAAGUCUGGUGUCAGCCGCCGCGGUAAUACCAGCUCUCCGAGUGGUAGGGACGAUUAUUGGGCCUAAAGCGUCCGUAGCCGGCUAAACAAGUUUCCCGUUAAAUCCAGCGAUCUAAUCGUUGGCCUGCGGGAAAUACUGUUUGGCUAGGGGGCGAGAGAGGCCAACGGUAUUUCCGGGGUAGGGGUGAAAUCUUAUAAUCCCGGGAGGACCACCAGUGGCGAAGGCUGUUGGCUAGAACGCGCUCGACGGUGAGGGACGAAAGCUGGGGGAGCGAACCGGAUUAGAUACCCGGGUAGUCCCAGCUGUAACGAUGUGGACUAGUGUAGGCGCUACGAGCCGCUCUAGUGCCGCAGGAAAGCCAUUAAGUCCACCGCUGGGAGUACGCCGCGAGCUGAAUUAAAGGCCA